AUUGAACGCUGGCGGCAUGCUUUACACAUGCAAGUCGAACGGUAACAGGGCGCUUGCACCGCUGACGAGUGGCGAACGGGUGAGUAAUGCGUCGGAACGUGCCGAGUAGUGGGGGAUAACGCAGCGAAAGUUGUGCUAAUACCGCAUACGUACUGAGGUAGAAAGUGGGGGACCUUCGGGCCUCACGCUAUUCGAGCGGCCGACGUCUGAUUAGCUAGUAGGUGAGGUAAAGGCUCACCUAGGCGACGAUCAGUAGCGGGUCUGAGAGGAUGUUCCGCCACACUGGGACUGAGACACGGCCCAGACUCCUACGGGAGGCAGCAGUGGGGAAUUUUGGACAAUGGGCGAAAGCCUGAUCCAGCCAUGCCGCGUGUCUGAAGAAGGCCUUCGGGUUGUAAAGGACUUUUGUCAGGGAGGAAAUCCCUAGCGUUAAUACCGCUGGGGGAUGACAGUACCUGAAGAAUAAGCACCGGCUAACUACGUGCCAGCCGCCGCCGUAAAAC
rnacentral:rRNA from 1 species